rnacentral:tRNA from 1 species
GGAGGGGCCAUGGCUCAGUGGUAGAACAUCCGUUUGGUAUGCGGAAGGUCCCAAAUUCAAUCCCCAGCAUCUUCA